rnacentral:rRNA from 1 species
ACCCAGGUGUUUACAGCAGAAUGGAACCACACUGAUCCAUCUCGAACUCAGAUGUGAAACGUUCUAGCGGCAAUAAUACUUAAGGGGAAGCCCUUAGGGAAGGUAGCUCAAUGCCUGGGUUCUACAAUAUCUAUAUGUAAA